AUUAGAGUGUUUCAAGCAGACUUGUGUCUUGAAUACUUCAGCAUGGAAUAAUAAAGUAGGACUUUGGUUCUAUUUUGUUGGUUUGUGAACCUUAGUAAUGGUUAAUAGGAACGGUUGGGGGCAUUCGUAUUUAACUGUCUGAGGUGAAAUUCUUAGAUUUGUUAAAGACGAACUACUGCGAA
rnacentral:rRNA from 1 species